rnacentral:rRNA from 1 species
AAACCAACAGGGAUUGCCUCAGUAGCGGCGAGUGAAGCGGCAAAAGCUCCAUUUUGAAAGCUCUUCGGAGCGUUGUAGAUUGGUGGGAAGCUAACGGCUGGUGGGAGACCAAGUCCUCUGGAACGAGGCGCCAUAGAGGGUGAGAGCCCCGUGUGUCUCCUUUACCGACCUUUCAGCCCCCUCCGCGGAGUCGAGUUGUUUGGGAAUGCAGCUCUAAGUGGGUGGUAAAUUCCAUCUAAGGCUAAAUAUUGGCGAGAGACCGAUAGCGAACAAGUACAGUGAUGGAAAGAUGAAAAGCACUUUGAAAAGAGAGUGAAACAGUACGUGAAAUUGUUGAAAGGGAAGGGUAUUUGGCCCGACAUGGGUCCUAUGCACCGUUGCCUCUCGUGGGCGGCGCUCUGCUUGGGCCUGGGCCAGCGUCAGUUUGGAGGGGGCGAGAAGGGUUUUGGGGAGUUGCCUAGCAAUUCCCCUUUGCUAGAUUGCCCCACACCGGACUGAGGACCGCCAUCUGUAGGAUGCUG